UACGUAGGGUGCGAGCGUUAAUCGGAAUUACUGGGCGUAAAGCGUGCGCAGGCGGUUCGUUAAGUCAGAUGUGAAAGCCCCGGGCUCAACCUGGGAACUGCAUUUGAAACUGGCGGGCUUGAGUGCGGCAGAGGGGGGUGGAAUUCCCGGUGUAGCGGUGAAAUGCGUAGAUGUCGGGAGGAACACCUGUGGCGAAGGCGGCCCCCUGGUUGGAUACUGACGCUGAUACGCGAAAGCGUGGGGAGCAAACAGG
rnacentral:rRNA from 1 species